GCCCUCAUAGCUCGAAUCGGUAGAGCGAGCGACUCUUAAGUAGUAACCUUCUUCGGUUACAACUUGAUCGCUAGGUUGUGGGUUCGAGCCCCACUGAAGGCU
rnacentral:tRNA from 1 species